rnacentral:tRNA from 2 species
GCAAUCGUAGUGUAGCGGUUAUCAUCCCAGCCUUCCACAACGAAGAUCAGCUGGGGACUCGGGUUCGACUCCCGGCGAUUGCA